rnacentral:rRNA from 1 species
GGACUACUCGGGUAUCUAAUCCUGUUCGCUCCCCACGCUUUCGCUCCUCAGUGUCAGGUAAGGCCCAGAGAACCGCCUUCGCCACCGGUGUUCCUCCUGAUAUCUGCGCAUUUCACCGCUACACCAGGAAUUCCAUUCUCCCCUACCUACCUCUAGUCUGCCCGUAUCCACUGCAAGCCCAGGGUUAAGCCCUAGGAUUUCACAGCAGACGUAACAAACCACCUACGAGCUCUUUACGCCCAAUAAUUCCGGACAACGCUUGCGCCCUACGUGUUACCGCGGCGGCUGGCAC